rnacentral:rRNA from 1 species
AUGGGGUACAAGGCGUACGUGUACCGGGUGCUGAAGCAGGUGCACCCGGACCUGGGGGCGUCGGGGAAGACGAUGCAGGCGCUGGACAUGAUGAUGGCGGACAUGUUCGAGCGGCUGGCCACGGAGGCGUCGCGGCUGGCGCAGUACGCCGGGCGCGCCACGCUCACGUCCCGCGACGUGCAGAACGCGGUGCGGCUGGUGCUCCCCGGCGAGCUCACCAAGCACGCCAUCUCCGAGGGCACCAAGGCCGUCACCAUGUACACGUCCUGA